rnacentral:rRNA from 1 species
UGAAUACGAGACGCUAAGGCGUCGAAGUAGUGUAUGUCAUACUUCCAAGAAAAGCUUGCACUGUCAUAGAUAAAAAACGCCUGUACCAUAACCGACACAGGUGGGUAGGUAGAGUAUACUAAGGGGCGCGAGAUAACUCUCUCUAAGGAACUCGGCAAAAUAACUCCGUAACUUCGGGAGAAGGAGUGCCUUAUUCUUAAGGUUGCAAUAACAAGAUCCAAGCAACUGUUUAUCAAAAACACAGGUCUCCGCUAAGUCGUAAGACGAUGUAUGGGGGCUGACGCCUGCCCAGUGCCAGAAGGUUAAAGAAGCUGGUUAGCAUUUGCGAAGCUAGUAACUGAAGCCCCGGUGAACGGCGGCCGUAACUAUAACGGUCCUAAGGUAGCGAAAUUCCUUGUCGGGUAAGUUCCGACCCGCACGAAAGGCGUAAUGAUUUGGAUACUGUCUCGGAGAGGGGCUCGGUGAAAUAGACUUGUCUGUGAAGAUGCGGACUACCUGCACCAGGACAGAAAGACCCUAUGAAGCUUUACUGUAACUUGAAAUUGAAAUUGGACUUUAUUCGCGCAGUAUAGGUGGGAGGCGUUGAUUAUAAUCUUGCGGGAUUAUUGGAGCCAUUAGUGAGAUACCACUCUUGUAAUGUUAGAUUUCUAACUUUGAAUCAUUAUCUGGUCAAAGAACAGUUUCAGGCGGGCAGUUUGACUGGGGCGGUCGCCUCCCAAACGGUAACGGAGGCGUACAAAGGUUUCCUCUGAACGGUUAGAAAUCGUAUCUAGAGUGUAAAGGCAUAAGGAAGCUUGACUGUGAGACCUACAAGUCGAGCAGGGACGAAAGUCGGUCUUAGUGAUCUGACGGUACUGAGUGGAAAGGCCGUCACUCAACGGAUAAAAGUUACUCUAGGAUAACAGGCUGAUCUCCCCCAAGAGUUCACAUCGACGGGGAGGUUUGGCACCUCGAUGUCGGCUCAUCGCAUCCUGGGGCGGUAGUACGUCCCAAGGGUUGGGCUGUUCGCCCAUGAAAGCGGUACGCGAGCUGGGUUCAGAACGUCGUGAGACAGUUCGGUCCAUAUCCGGUGUAGGCGUUAGAAUAUUGAGAGGAGCCUUCUUUAGUACGAGAGGACCGAGAAGGACAUACCUCUGGUGUACCAGUUAUCGUGCCAACGGUAGACGCUGGGUAGCUAUGUAUGGAGUGGAUAACCGCUGAAAGCAUCUAAGUGGGAAGCCCACCUCAAGAUAAGUAUUCUCAUC